AUUGGGCGUAAAGCGAGCGCAGGCGGUUUUUUAAGUCUGAUGUGAAAGCCCUCGGCUUAACCGAGGAAGUGCAUCGGAAACUGGGAAACUUGAGUGCAGAAAAGGACAGUGGAACUCCAUGUGUAGUGGUGAAAUGCGUAGAUAUAUGGAAGAACACCAGUGGCGAAGGCGGCUGUCUGGUCUGUAACUGACGCUGAGGCUCGAAAGCAUGGGUAGCGAACAGGAUUAGAUACCCUGGUAGUCCAUGCCGUAAACGAUGAAUGCUAGGUGUUGGAGGGUUUCCGCCCUUCAGUGCCGCAGCUAACGCAUUAAGCAUUCCGCCUGGGGAGUACGACCGCAAGGUUGAAACUCAAAGGAAUUGACGGGGGCCCGCACAAGCGGUGGAGCAUGUGGUUUAAUUCGAAGCAACGCGAAGAACCUUACCAGGUCUUGACAUCUUUUGAUCACCUGAGAGAUCAGGUUUCCCCUUCGGGGGCAAAAUGACAGGUGGUGCAUGGUUGUCGUCAGCUCGUGUCGUGAGAUGUUGGGUUAAGUCCCGCAACGAGCGCAACCCUUAUGACUAGUUGCCAGCAUUUAGUUGGGCACUCUAGUAAGACUGCCGGUGACAAACCGGAGGAAGGUGGGGAUGACGUCAAAUCAUCAUGCCCCUUAUGACCUGGGCUACACACGUGCUACAAUGGAUGGUACAACGAGUUGCGAGACCGCGAGGUCAAGCUAAUCUCUUAAAGCCAUUCUCAGUUCGGACUGUAGGCUGCAACUCGCCUACACGAAGUCGGAAUCGCUAGUAAUCGCGGAUCAGCACGCCGCGGUGAAUACGUUCCCGGGCCUUGUACACACCGCCCGUCACACCAUGAGAGUUUGUAACACCCGAA
rnacentral:rRNA from 1 species